CCGGACUCGGUCUCCGAGGCCACUUCCCGCGUCCGCAAGAAUCUCUCCUACUUCCGUGUCAACUACCUCACACUCCUCGCCGCCGUCCUCGCCCUCUCCCUCCUAUCCCACCCCUUCUCCCUCCUCGUCCUCCUCUCCCUCCUCGGCGCCUGGUGCUUCCUCUACCUCUUCCGCCCCGCCGAUCCCCCGCUUGUCAUCCUCGGCCGCACCUUUUCUGACCGCGAGACCCUCGGCGCCCUCGUCCUCCUCACCGUCUUCGUCGUCUUUCUCACCUCCGUCGGAUCUCUCCUCAUCUCCGCCCUCAUGGUCGGCGCUGCCAUCGUGGCCGUCCACGGUGCCUUCCGCGUGCCGGAGGACCUCUUCCUUGACGACCAGGAGCCAGGCGGUGCCGGCUCAGGCUUGCUGUCCUUCCUUGGCGGAGCCGCCGUCUCCGCCGGCCCUGCUGUUGGCGUCUGAUCUGGAUCUGACGGUUGUCUCGGUUGCGAUCGUUGAGGUUUGUAACUUAGGUUAUCCCCUUCUCUUCCCCUUACCUUCUAUUGAUGCUUUGGUAGGUAGGAGAAGAUAUUCUUGGAUAACUAGGGUUUAAUUAAUAUUAUAAAUUAGAUCGGGAGAGAUUUACGACUCUGGAUUCAUGUAACUAUUUUUGGAUGAUCAAUGCUUACAAGUUGUUCUCUCAAUGUAUCAGUGGCUUUGUUUCAGAUCUAUGGAAGAAUCUUUGCUGAUUUUAAUUGCA
rnacentral:lncRNA from 1 species